rnacentral:rRNA from 1 species
CGUGUAGGCGGCCCGGUAAGUCCGCUGUGAAAGUCGGGGGCUCAACCCUCGGAUGCCGGUGGAUACUGUCGGGCUCGAGUGCGGAAGAGGCGAGUGGAAUUCCUGGUGUAGCGGUGAAAUGCGCAGAUAUCAGGAGGAACACCAAUUGCGAAGGCAGCUCGCUGGGACGUGACUGACGCUGAGAGCGAAAGCGGUGGGAACAAACA